CCUCUCCCUUCCCAAACAUGGAGAGGGGUCAAUUGCAGGGGUUGAUGUAUUGCAUGUUAUGUAUCUGGUAAUAUGGAGUGAUGAGCUAGUAAUUAUAUCCUUACCUAUAAUUAGUUGCUGAUUAAAUGUUCAAAGAUACACAGUGUGAAACAGGAAAAACAAAUGGGAGAUACCCACUGCAACAAACUUUCAACAAAUUUUUAUGGCCUUCUUCACUUCAUUUAAUUCUUACUUUCGAC